UGGAUAGAAUUGCUGUAUGCCUCAGAGUGUUGGCUGAGAAGUCAGACCUCAUGGUAGAAAUCUUCAACACUGCAUGCAGAGGCUCUCUCUCGUUGAUGUUGGCUGCUAAGAUCGAAGAAGAGAAACAACUUCAAGCGGCUGCCGAGCGUAAAAUUGUGAAAGUCCAUGCUGAUGACCCGAUAUCCUUUGU
rnacentral:sRNA from 1 species